GAGCUUAAUGAUGAGCUAAGGUGCAGCGUGCAAGGGAAGGAGGCUGAGGUUGCAGCACAGUGAAUAUACAAGAGCCAGAGUGACCUGGGCAAGUGGAUAACGAAUCGUCAGGAUUACACGUGGUGGCAGAAGGAUGAGGUUUGGAGUGGAAUUAUCGAGCUGAUGAUGGGAAAGUAUCGCUGCAUUCUACCGAGCGCAGCAGGAGGAAUCAACUCAUUUUCGGGAAGCAUAAGAAGGAAUGAAGAAGGCCAAGUUCAGCAUCCCUUGGGGUGCUCUGAUGUGAUGAACUCACGGAUUAGCCCAAGCCCAUUCCCACUCCCGUAGCUGCAUGGGAUCUGAUGGCAGCCUGCAGCUCACCCCCAACAGAGCACAGCGAUACAGGUCAGCUCAUCCAUAAACACGACCAGGCACCGAAACAGAGGCAAGGAAGAACAUACAGCCAGAGCACGGAGCGUGUUAACAGGUGUACAGGUUCAAGCUCCUAUUCCGUGACAACCUUUCUGUGGGCAAGUCAAUCAGUUUCUCUGUGCUGCAUUUAUGUAUUCAUAAAUUCAGAAUGAAACUAGUUUAUGGUCUCACAGGGCCACUAUGAAAGGCAAAUCAUAUUAAAUACUGUAACCUACUCUAGUACUGUGACACCAGCAGCAAUUUAAGAAGCAAAGAGAGAAAGAGGGAGGUUUUAUACACAGUUUGCCUUUGCGGGAGAUGAAGCGCAGACAGUGAUGUCACCCCUAAGGAGAGCAACACAACACUGGAAACAUUUGUGACUUCCUCCAUAGUAUACCCAGCGGCUGCCCACCACCUGCCAAGAGGCCAUCGAGAAGGGCGGCCAGGCUCUGUAUGGUGCUGCAUGGCAGUAGGACAAGAGACAACAUGAAGCGAAACAAGGGACCAAGAGAGGUUCAGACUUGCCAGAAGGAGAAGCUUUCCCCAGAAGGGAGCAUUUUGAAGCUGAGCCCUCUGUGAGCAGGAGAUUACUCUGGAAACCUCCUGAGGUCCCUUCCCACCUCCUCAGGCCUCUUCCUCCGCCAGUCAAAAUAGAAUCACGGAAUCAUAGAAUGGCCUGGGUUGAAAAGGACCACAAUGAUCAUCAAGUUUCAACCCCCCUGCUAUGUGCAGGGUCGCCAACCACCAGACCAGGCUGCCCAGAGCCACAUCCAGCCUGGCCUUCAAUGCCUCCAGGGAUGGGGCAUCCACAACCUCCUUGGGCAACCUGUUCCAGUGCGUCACCACCCUCUGUGUGAAAAACUUCCUCCUAAUAUCUAACCUAAACCUCCCCUGUCUCAGUUAAAAAAGAUAUAUAUCCUUGUCUUUGUUAAUGGCAAAGAAGGAGAGAUCACUGUGGAAAGGUAUUCAUGUUUUAAAAGAUUGUUUAUGCAGAUAUCAUAUCUGGAAAAAGUCCCUGCUAAGUGCACCGUAUCUGUUAAACACCUGAGGACAUGGAACAAGUCCUAAUGCGGUGCCUGGUUCAUACUUCUCAGCAGAUAUUAUCUCUUAAUUUCUUUUACAUGGCAGAUGAGAAGGUAUUUUCCCUUCAGUCAGAAACAAACACGCAUUUGUUUCCGACAUCACAGGUACCGCUGAGAAAUGGGCUUCCUGCUGUGUUUUUUUCUGUUCCUGUUUUGAACAAUACAUAAACUAUCCUAUUAAGAACAGAAAAAGGGCCUGGAGUUAGAAAUGCCUCUACCUACAACAAUACCUCAGGACUGCUGGCAUUACAACACUAUCACAUAUGCAAGCAACAGUAGUAAGAUGUCAAGGAGAUAAAGGAGGAACCGGAGAUGGUAUUUCCAUGAAUGAAACUGAAAAUACGGGUGCCAUGGCAAGUCCCUGGCUGCCCUGCUAUCUUCCCACCAGCUGUGUGUAGGUGUUUCUGCUGGGCUGAGGGAGAGGUGCGGGCUCAGAGGAGCAGCUCUUCUGUGCAAGCAGUGGAAAGGGCAGUGUGUGUGUGCAUCCUCGGGCGACCAGCCCGUACAGACCUGAUGGAGCUUGACUGAGGGUGUUAUUUAUUUCUUCUUUUCAUGUGAAUAUGCCUGUGCAGCAGUGCAAGCAAAGAGCUGCUGAAACUCCAGUUCAGCACUUGAAGUGCUGAUGCUGUCCUGCAUCCCUAUAAACAAAUGCUUUAGUAUCCUGUGGGAUUAAAAACUACAACGUAAGUAGGAGGGUAUGGUCACAGUAUUUGUUGUGCAGGCUGGAUGAAGUUAGGCCGUAUGUCAUCCUCGCAGAAAAUGGACUGGAGAGCAGCUCUGAGAUAGGCUGUAUCCCUCUUAAACAACACUGCAUAUUACAGCAGUUGAAACUCAGCCAGUUGCUUCUCAAAGAGCAACGCACGGCAGAUGCCUUCACCAUCAUGCCCUGUCACAUGAAGAUUAAUAAGCCAUGAGGACACUAACGAUCUAGCUCUCCUGCUUGGUCAGUGAAAUACAAUACUUGCUACUUGCUGGGAAAUAAGGGCAUAGUUUUGGACAGGUACAGAGGAGGUGAGACUACCACCUUGCUUUUGCACUGGCACCACGAUGCCAGCAACUUCUACCUUCACUGAGUAUUUGAGGAGGGUCAUAUGCUGCCAAGAGAGCACAGUUCUUGCCAGCUGGUCCUCAGCAGCAGGUACAGAGAAGAUUGAUUGUAAGGCAGAUGGAGGUAACUUCACGUGGAAACAUGUCUGCUUGCCUUUGGGAGGGGGGCCUCUGCUCCAAAGGAGAAUAUUACAACAGCAGCAAUAAGAAGAGAAUCCUGGAUAAACUGCAAGGGUACAUCUGAAUGAGGAAUGGGAAAACACAGUGGGAAAAGGAGUAGAGAAGGAGGGAAUAAAGUUUAGAGAAGAUGCUCAGGUUUUCUUAAAAUGAGGGGUCGAAGGAAUAAUAAAGGAGAAAUAAAGGGGAAUGGAGCAUUUGGGUAGUAGAUAAAAGGCAAGCAGUAGGAUUGUUGGGAAAUAAACUCACGAAUAAAGAGAAAAUAGAGAAGGAAUAGGAGCAAAGGUGUUGCUGCAGAAGGUUUGCAUUGGCUCAUGUGAUGAUGGCUACCCAGGUGCCUCGGUGCUGUGCUCCCCCCUCCUGGCUGGGAGGACGGUAAAGAUGCCCUAUACAAAGCCAGCACAGCCCUGCAGAACCUACAGGCCAUGCAGCACAUCAUCCUGUUAUUAGGUCUGUACCCCACCAAAAAUGCCUGCUUAAAGAUUGGUAGCUGAGUGUUGUAGAGCCCAGGAGCCAACACUUGAAAGAUAAUUAUGUGUCUAAUACUUGUAAAUUAACAUGUAGCUUCUGAAGUCAUCAGGCUAUUUAGUCAAUUGGAAAGGUUCUCUUCUCUUCCCUCCCUUCUCUUCCCUCCCCUCCCUUCCCCUUCUCUAUCCUUUUUUUUCUUCUUCUUCUUUUUUUUUUUUUUUCCAGGGCAUGCCAUAUAGUGUGGAACUGUUGAUGUGUUUAUGAUGGUUUUAUCUUGAAGACAUCUGCUUAUGCCAAGGGAAUAGUAUGAACUCUCAGUGACCUAUAGAGCCUGCAUUCCUAAUUAGUGGAAAAAUAUUCUGUAAUCAGGGCAUUGCCACUUCAAUGGAGUCUAAAGAUAGAAAGGUUAUGUCCUUGUCUGGGGUCACGAAUCAUCUUUCCUGACUUUAUAGCUUUAUUCUGACUUAGAGUUAACCAGGUGCAAAGCAGUAAGCAGGAGGACCAGAUUACACUCUGUCUCAGAAUACAUCUACCCUGAGGGCUUACCUUAUGUUUUUACUCACAUUUUUUGCUUCCAACAUCUAACAAACACAACAAACCUUUAAGCAUGACUGGGUAAGUGCUCUGAAACAAUGUCUGCUUUUAUGGCUGCUUUGCUGCAGGCAUCGAGCCCUGAGAAGCUGCCAAAAGCCCAAGGAGCUGAGCUCCUACCCUCCAGCAUCCUCACACCCCUCCCAGCACCCACCAGCCAUUCUCAACACUCCAUCCCCAUUUGCAUCCUACUCCUGCCUUUUCAUCUGUUUUUUGUUUGUUUGUUUUUAAUUUGCCUUCUAGCUACUUGCCCUUUUUAUAUUCUCCAGAGCAUCCUCCAGCUCUGGAGCCACCAAGCCUCCAUCAUCCACUGCUUGGCCCUGCCAUGGUGAGGAGUCAGAAACUGGUUUCUCUCAAGGCCUCUUGCUGUGUCCCACAGCCCAAAAGGGACAGCCAGCUGAUCCACUGGGAUAUAUCAUAGCUGGGUGGAUAGUAUGGGUAGGAUAGUGAUAGACAGAAACAGAGUUGCUUAUCCAGGAGGCAUGCUGAUCUAGAGAUUCUCCCACCUGCCCUGUUUUCUUUCCCUGACUCGUGGAUCUGUCACAACUUCUCUGCAACAGAGAACUUCAAAAAACUGAAAAUCUCUAUAACUGCAUGUCAACGUUGCAUCUUGUUCCUUCUGUUGACUGAAGCACAAAUUUGAGGCACAAAUGUAGGUUGGAAGAGCUGAGUCUAAGUCUGUAGCUGGGAGAUGUUACAUUCUGAUUUCAUGCUUUUGGUAGAAGGUGUCUCCCCGCCUGCAGAACAUCUAUUUUACAGCAGGAACUGAUUAUUGGAUUGAGUUUAUGUAGUGUGUCUACAUGGCUUAUCAAUGAAAGAGCCACCAAAAUCUGUAAGUAGUGCAACGCUUGUGUGACGGUGGCCUCCCAAACUGAGAUGCAGUGGCAUGAAAAACACUGAGUCCUCCCAGCUGAAGAAUACUUUCCAGGAAGUCAUGAACUGUUGCUGUGGAAUGAUAAUUAGAGUUAGUUUAAUACGUGAAGAUUAGUCUCUUCUUUUUCCCAGCAGCUAAGCUUUCUGUUCACCUCUGCAGGAACUCCUCUGUGAGCCCACAGGAAGACACUGUCUCAAAUAGGCGUUCGUCUCUCCAUCCUUCUCCUCUCACUUACUGGUAGCUACAACUCUGUGACAGCCUGAUGGGAGCCCUUGGGAACUGUUCUUGCUUACUUGUAAAGAAGUAUAAAACUCUGUUCUGAAAUUAAAAAGAAAAUAUUAAGGUUGAAGAAGAACUGGGUGGUGAAUUAAGCUGAGAAAAACGCCUGUAGGAAAUUCACAGUGAAUGCUCCUUUGUCCAGAGUUAGCCUCUCUCAAGCAUGUUCCCUUACACAGUGUAUGCCAACAUAUAGAUUUGUGGAUUGUUUUUUAUUUGUACAGGUGAACAGUGACAAUAAUUCAUGGUUCAGGUUGUCUAGAGGACUGGGAAGUAAUGAUAAUAGACUUAGUUCCUUCAGUAGUGUCCAAAAAGUGAUGGUUAGAGCUGAAUAAUUCAGAAAGUUUUCAGGUAAUCUUAGCUUAGGCCCUGAUCUUCCCAAGGCAAUGCUCAUACUUCAUUUCUGGCUUGCACAGUCACGCUGAACGCAAUGGCAGCAGGGUAACACAUCUGAAGCUAAGCUUAUCAUAAAUCAACUUUCUGUAUCAGGGCCUCUAUCACAGUCUGUUCAGAGAUAUGCCACAGGAAAAGAAAAAGGGUAAAUAAGUUUGCUAUGGCCCCAUUUAAAUUCCUUUUGUGUUCGUUUCCUCUGACAGUUUGGGAAAUAGACCUUCAGUAAUAAAAAAAAAAAGAAAAUACAGAAAAGAAUGAGAAAACAGUGAUAGAGAAGGAUGAGGAAACAGUGUUUAAAGCCACAUGUAAGUUCUUGUGAAAACCAAAUAGUGUGUUUGCAUAUGCUAGCAUUCAGGCUAGGUGUUCCCGCACGAUUCCUGUCAGGAAAAAGAUACCAUGCAUAUGAUUUAUCAGGCAGCCACCGACUAUGUACUGUGGAUAUUUGCUUUCAAUCCACCGAGUUCAAGAUUAGAAAAGGUAUCUGUUGAAUUCAUUUGAAUAGCAAAUAGACUGGGGAAUCACAAUCUGUUCCUAGCUAUUCAAUGGAUGAUAACCGGUAAUUCAUUAAAUAUAUUAGUCUCUCCAUUCUAAUAAUUAUUAGAGCAGAGACAGAAGUUUGAAAACAAUCAUUUCGAGAACAGUGCAGCAUUUCUAUGUGCAAGUGAUAAGUGACAUAUUUCAGCACGUGCGCUCCUUGGCUUCUGGAUCAGCCACAGUCACCUCGUGACAAAUCUCCUUGGCUGCUGCUUGGUGGAUAGCUGACAGUGCACCCCACACAGCACAGGUAUGAGGACUUCUAAGAUCAAAGCAGAAGUUAGCAACGUUAUCCAUGUGGCAUUACAUCUUGACCCCUGCGUGUAUGUACAGUUACGGAAGUUAGUCACCUACAGUGCUUACAAAUUAAUUUCAGCAAACAGUUGAGUUGAUCGGCACUGUGAGCAUAAGGAAGCAGACCUUGGGCAUUUUCAUCUUGCAUGAAACCGUGAAUGAAUGGACUUUGAGGACAACUGGUAGGGGAAAAAAAAAAAAAAGCAAAAGCACUUUUGGGAGAGGAGAGCGCUGAGAUCCAUCAGUAUUCAGUAUUUCUGGGAGGAAGGCUCUAUCUGUAGGGAAUCUGGCCAGGACUAAGGCAGGUUUGUGAUCUCCUUUCCAGGCAGCUUUUCCACAGGGUGCUCAUCCUGUUGGAAUUGCGGCUGGAAGACCACAGCCUUGCAUGGUGACUCAUAAUUUGGAGAACCAAGUAGAAAUUCAGCCUCUCUGAUUCACAGAGGAUUUAGGAAAUGCUUGCUCUUAGCUCAGAAGCCAUUUCAUCAGCUGAAGGCAGAAGCAGGUGGAUGCCCACAGAAACAUCUGGAAAGUCAGCAUUACACGUGGAAAGAAGACAGAGCACUAAGAGAGAUGGCAGACUGCCAUUCGGUUUUCACUCAGUUAAUAUGUUCCCUCCUCCACUUGCUCACUAUGUCUUUCCAGGCUUCAUAAUCUCUGGUGGACAUACCAAGGGGUGGAGCUGGGCUGGCAACCAUCGCCAUGCAUCACUGCUCCUACAAACACAUAGUACUAGUAUGGGCAGACGGCAUCGUUGUGCUGAUCAUCAUCCUCUGAGUCAGCCAUUUGCAAACACCUUCUCCAGGCUGUCAUCUUGCCACUAGGAAUUCAAAAUCUGAGUCAGAACCCAAUUUAAACUGCUAUAAUUAACAGUCCCGAUUUAACCGAAUCUCACAGUUUGUCAUGUUGCAUUCUCUGUGUACAUCUGAAAAUCUCUCUCCAGGGCUCCCAAAGAGCCUCGGUGGUUUCAGGCUCCCACCAAGACCAAGUCCAACAGCCACCAAACAAACCUGUCCUUGCUGGAUUCAUCUCACCAUUAAAUACAGAAAUAUCAAAGAUGAUGGGUUGGAUGUUGACGUGGACUUUUCUAUAAAUACUGCUGAUGAGGGCAAAGCCCGGGUGCCACAUGAAGGAAAGAAGGGUGGAAGUAUCUCACUUGCUCAGAAGCCCCAAAAAACUUAGAAUGGUUGAGACUCCUAUGAAGGAGAUAAUUAUACACUGCACAAGCUAAAAACAAGCACUUUUUUUCUUUAUUGUUUCUAAAUGAUGUUAUUAUGAAUGAAAAUUCACUCUGAGGAAGGUCUCCAGUUACUGUGGAUGCUUAGGAGAGCCCCUGAGUUUACUUUUAGGGAACGCAGUGCUAUUGCAAAUAAGGUGACCUGGGGACUAUCUGAUGGUUUUGCAGCCAUAAGUGACAGCAAGCUGGACUGUGGGUGGAAGUGCAUUUUUGAAAACACUUAUUUUUACGAUUUAAGGAGGAAUUUUUAUGUCCUCUGCUUUUUUUCUUUACUUUCAUCUGACCAUCAGGGAGCACUUCUGUGCUGCACAGGUGGCAGAACAGUGGCACAGGCUGCCCAGAGGCUGCGGAGCCCCCUCUUUGGAGCUCUUCAGAAGAUGCCUGAGCACACUGCUCCAGGCGUCCCUGCUUGGGCAGGGGUUGGGCCAGAUGGACUCUGAGGUCCCUACCACCCCCAGCCUUGAUGGAAUUCUGUGAUUCCUUUCAAUUCUCUGAAUGAUGGAUUUAGUCUUUUGUGUUGUGCUGCUAUUGUUUUUGCAGAGCUAUUUCAAGGCUGCCACUGUGAGCUCCCCUCUCAACCUAAGUGCUGCACUACUGUAGCUGGAGAGCCAUCCACUUAGCGUUCACAUAGGCGAAACAUUUGAGGGACAUAAAGAGAGGGACUCUUUAUCCGGGAGUGUAACAAUAAGACAAGGGAUAACGGCUUUAAACUAAAAGAGGGGAGAUUUAGAUUAGUUGUUUGGAAGAAAUUCUUCACAAUGAGGCUGGUGAGGCACUGGAGCAGACUGCCCAGAGAAGCCAUGAAUGUCCCAUAGCUGAAAUUGCUCAAGGCCAGGUUGGAUGGGACUUUGGGCAACCUGAUCUAGUGGAAGCGGUCCCUACCCACGACAGAGGACUUGGAACAAAAUAGUCUUUCAGGUAUCUUCUAACUCAAGCAAUUCUGUGAUUCUUCAGUUCUACGACUCUAUGAAGAGAUUGCCUCAAUUUCAUAUAGCAGAUGAUCAGACAAGUUGGGAUUAUUGCCAUGGCUUCAAAUCUGCUUGAGAUAGUCUGUGCCCUAAACUACACUUAUUUAGCUGCCUUGAUAUUUCGCUGUCAUUCCUCUUCAUCCUGAGCUUCCCAUGUACACCCACUAGGGAUUUCAUUCUGUGAACACUUCCAGCUGAAACUGUACCAUGGAAUUUUUAAUGAUACUUAGACAUUGCCUCGCUUUCUUUCAGAAAUAUCUACAUGUCAAAAAUUAUGGACGUUUCUAAAGAAGUCACUGAGCUAAAGACUUCUAAAGAAGUCACAUCCUGUCAUGCCAGAUGUGUCAAACCUUCAUGUUUCAGCGCUGAUCAAUUUACUGUCUUCUCAUGACGUUGUCUUCAUUAUUUUAGCAUGAGUUUUACAUAUCAGCAUAUAAAUUAUCAUUGUAUAUCUUUGGAGACAAAGAGAAACGCAUUUUUUGACGAUAGGAUUUUAAAUAUCUUGAAUGUAUUUCCAUACUGAAUCAGGAAAGUGUUCCUCAUAUCUAACUCUGGUUUUUCAUUGGCUUUUAGAUACUGUGUGCAUACAUUACGUCAUAUUUAUAGUAGUAUAUGUCUGUACAUAAACUUACACAUACGCAGAAAAAAAAAUCAAAUCGAGAUGUCAUUUAUACUCUCAAUGACCAAGCUGGGGAACAAAAUUUUGCCUCAUCACACAUCUUUCUACUUCAGUGAAUUAUUUUUAUUGAUGUCACAAGUCUUAAUUUUAAAUCCAGUUUUGAUGAAAAAAGUAGCUGAUCAUCUGCCCUGUUAUUAUACAAAAUACAUUUAUAUCGAGUGGUAGGAAAUAUAAUUUGUAGAAUGAUUAAUUACAUAAUGAUUAUAGUGGAGAAAUAUAUUCUCUAACAAAAUUUGUUAAAUGGAGGAAUUUAAUAUGAAAUAGUAGAUUUCCAAAUUUAUACAAAUAACACCAGAUGGUGAGUAGCUAGUUUUAAUUAAAUUAAGUUUGAUAAUUAUAGCUGAUUAAUUUUUAGGUUUGACUCAGAUUAGAAAGAAUGCACUAUUUUCCUGUAGAUUUAUUUUUAGCUCCCUUGCAAGGCUGUGAAUAUCAGUGUGUGCUGAGGUCCGGCCAGGUCCCACAGCUGCCAGCUCGCAGCAUCUCUGUGGGACCCAGCGGUACUCCUGCAGCUGGGAGGAUGCUCGGGCCAGGACCACCUGAUGGAAGUCAGAAGUAGUUUUGCCAAUGGAAGAAGGAGGAAGUUUCUGCCGCAGGACCAAAAUAUGUUUUCACAACCCAAUCUACUGACUCAGCUGCUUUGAACAAAGAGAAGAGCUCAACGUGACCUCUUUGCAUAUGCACACAAUUGCACAUGCUGCAGCUUGUGUCCUGGGACAUCUUCUCAGGGAGGAACAUGUAAAGGCUGAAGCCUGGUAGCAAAGAGUCCCAGAGCUUGUCCCCCACUCUAGCACACUCGGUCUCAUCACUGCUUUCCAUAAGAUCAUCUGACCUGGUCCCACAGUUGAUCUGACCAGGUCCCAGUGGUUCCACUGAACCACAGAAAUAUGCUUAAAGCCACGAAUGUGUACAAGCUCUUUUCAGACUGUGGAAAGAGACCAAAUCUUACUCUGCAGGACCUACAACCUGAUGCUCCGUGCUCACCGCUCUGUGGGAAUCACCUCCCACCUUUGGAUCAAGUGAAGUGUAAUGUGGACAAAUCAGAAUCCACACAGGCCUUUCUCACUGAUACAGGCUUUGCAGUUUCAGCUACAAGACCAAGUGAACAUUUUCAUCAUUUUUUUGGGCUACAUCUGCAAAAUGGGUGCUGCCUUCAGAGAUGUCUGGGAAGGAUCAGUUUCUCCCUAGCAGCAAGAGGCUGAAUGUAAUGUUUGUCUGAGAGUAACUGUGAGACAUUUUCUGAUGAUCAGGGAAGGACUCAUUCAGCAUGCUUGAGCUUGUGGUGUGCUUCUCAACUGCUUGGGCUGUUAACCUGUCUCCUGGUGCCUGUACACCAUAAAAAGAAGUAGGGACUGAAAAGAUUUGAUUCAUUGUCUCAUCACAGCACAAAAGUACACUGAAUAUUGUAAUUAAAAUUAAAUAUUGUAAUUAUAAUUGAACAUUACAAUUUAAAAAUUGAAUAUUGAAUUAAACAGAGUUUUAAGUAGAUGCCUACAACUGCUCUAAGCUAUCAGGUGCUUCUGACUUCCAGCAAAUAACACGUUAGGCUACAAGAAGCCAGUCUGAGAGCAUACUCUCCAUUCUGGAUGAUAUGAAACUUAAAAGAUGCCUUAAAUAAUUUCUCACUGCAGAGCUUUCUCAGAGCCAGCACUUGGACUGGCACUCAGGCAAGGUGGUGCUGUCCUGCCUCCUCCCUCUCAAGUCCCUUCUCUUUUAUCUCAGUUUUCUCUCUGCAGGGUUCUUCUUCCAUUAUCUGCCUAGUGCAAAUCCAGUCUCCUCCUCUGCUUUCUUUUUUGUGUGCGUGUGCUGAAAAGUGGCCUCCCUGAAUUUGUGUUAUAUUGAUUAUGUAAAUCAGCGCUUCUCCUCUAGAUUGCUUUUUCUUUGUGAACUGGGAGUAUAAUUUGCAGUCUUCUACCUGAUAAUUGUGAGUAUAAUUUGAGCUGUCUCUUUGUGGAGUCAUCAGUGACUGUUUUAAUUUCCAUAUGUGAGCGGUGCUAUUUUUCUUUAACUUUUUUUUUCCUUAAUCCUGCCUCUUUCUGAACUAAUGGAUUGAUUCUGCUGCUCAUAAUAGCAUCACCUGAAGUGUAUUUUGGAAUUUCUGCUGCUGCUGAGAUUGAAAUUUAUCUACAGUGUGACACAUUUCUCAACAUUUUCAGAAAAGACAUAAUCAUGUAACUAUCAACCUGACAAUAAAAUUGUCUAUCUGUAAUGGAAAAUGGAGG
ensembl:lncRNA